rnacentral:rRNA from 1 species
CCCUUCGAUGUUCGGAGCUGCACGCGCGCUACACUGUGGGUGGCAGCAUGUUAGCUUGCCUCGCUCGCAAGAGUGGGGUAAUCGUUUGAAAAUCCCACGUGAUUGGGAUAGGGACUUGUAAUUAUUUCCCUUGAACGAGGAAUCCCUAGUAAGUGCAGGUCAUCAGCUUGCGCUGAUUACGUCCCUGCCCUUUGUACACACCGCCCGUCGCACCUACCGAUUGAAUGGUCCGGUGAAGCCUCCGGAUUGGCGCGCACCUCGGUGCCGCCGAGAAGUUGGCUAAACCUUACCAUUUAGAGGAAGGUGAAGUCGUANCA